GAUGAAGAACGUAGCGAAAUGCGAUAAGUAAUGUGAAUUGCAGAAUUCAGUGAAUCAUCGAAUCUUUGAAUGCACAUUGCGCCCUCUGGUAUUCCGGGGGGCAUGCCUGUUCGAGCGUCAUUACAACCCUCAAGCUCUGCUUGGUAUUGGGCUCUGCCGGUCCUGGCAGGCCUCAAAGUCAGUGGCGGUGCCAUCCGGCUCCAAGCGUAGUAAUUCUUCUCGCUUCGGAGGCCGCGGUGCGUGCUAGCCAGCAACCCCCAAUUUUUUUCAGGUUGACCUCGGAUCAGGUAGGGAUACCCGCUGAACUUAAGCAUAUCAAUAAGCGGAGGA
rnacentral:misc_RNA from 1 species